rnacentral:sRNA from 1 species
GCUGGGUGUGGGGGUGCAUACCUGUCAUUCCAGAGACUCAGGAGGCUGAGGCAGGAGGAUAGGCUGAGGCAGGAGGAUUGCAAGUUUGAAGCCAGCUUCAU